GGUGGGUCACAGGGAGAGAUGAGUCUAGGCCCGGCAGGAAAGCUCUGGGAGGCCUGAACGCACUUAGGAGAGGUGGGGAGAAGGAAGCCCCACCCCGGAAAUGACGUUCACAGCGGAGGCAAUUGAACCUCGGAGCUCAACUCUACACAUGCACAGCGCAAGAAUAAAAGUGAAAAGUUUGAACAGAAAAUGAUGGUACAGGGGUUAUGUGGAAAUGGCAAAAGGGAAAGUGGAAAGAACAUGGCAUUGGAUUCAACAACAGGCAAAUGCAGCUUCUGGUGCUUCCUCUCCAUCUUCCUGCCUGGAACAAAGAUGUGAUGCCUGGAGCCAAGGCAACCAUUUUGGGACCAUGGGCUCACAAGUGAUACUUUAAGUGACAUGAAAAAGACCUUAAUGACAUAGCUGAGCCACUGCACUAACUGAACUAUUCUCCUCUGGAUUUUUGUUGUUGUUACUGUUAUGUGAAAAGUAAUGAUGUACUGUUUAAGCCAUUGUUCAUUAAAGUUUCUGUUACACGAAGGCAAAAGCGUUCCUAACGGACACAGAGAAUUUGGUACAAAUUGGCUAAGCAGACAAAUGUCUUCUAAGUAAACAUAGUGAAUGCAGUCGUGCUUUUGACAAGCCACUUCACCCCUGAAAGCUCGGUUUCUUCACAGGUGAAUUAAGUUCAGUGAUACUUACCUCAAAGGAUUCUGAGGAUUAAAGGAGAUGGUGCGUGUAAAACACCAUCAGUAUACUUGGCACAUACAUAGCAGGUUUCUGCAAAUGCAUGGUAAAUAAUGAGCAAAUAAACAAACAGAACAUGAAGCCUGUUGGAGGGACUGGUAGGUUGGUGGAUUUUUUUGUUUGUUUUAACCUAGACUUAAAGGGAUAGCUCUCUGAUGAAGGAAUUUGAGGGAGACAGUGAUUCAGGGCACUCCACCCUGACUCUCAAACCGUACCCCAGUGCCCAGCUGGGGACAGGGGAAGGAAGAGUGACUGACUAAGCGGGUACUGUUUGCAACGCUGGCCUAAGGUCCAACAUGAGCCUGUCAUUUACACAAGCCUUGAUUAAAAUCAGAGGGCAGCGCCAAGGAACGCAGAUCCCAAAGAGAAGCCAGGCACAAGAAAAUCCUGAAAGAAUCGUCAAGACUGAACCCAGGGAUGUAAACAGCCCCAGGUCCAUCCCUGGCUGUUGCACCCACCCCGUCCCACCCCUCCCCAGCCAUAACCAUCAGGGCACUGCCCAUGGCCAUGAACCUGUGGUGCCAGCUGACACGCCCUCUCCUGACU
ensembl:lncRNA